UGUCUAUCUGUUGGCGAGCCCAUCAAUUAAUUCAUCCAGAUGUAAACGCUCUUCUUAACGUCGUUUUAGUAUUAGGGUUUGCGCAUAGCUUUCGUCUCCGGCAUAGGAUGUCGAGACAGAACUAGAGUUCCCUUAUCGCGCAGCUGAUCUUUAACCUUCUUCCUGUCGGUUGCGAGACGAGACCAGUAACCGAAAUUCUGUCAUAAAGCCCUCCAUCAAUCAUGUCGGUGAAAGAUCUGCUAUAAAAAGAACAGCCGCUCUUCCUCCACUGUUCAAGUUUCCCUGCUCCGUUUCUGGGAUGCCAGGAAUGUACGCCGUGGUGGAGAUCUCAUGGGAGUCGACAUGCUCCUUCUUGAUUCUCAGGAACAAUGAUGGUUCUGGAAUUGUUAGGCUAUGCCACGAAAUCGCAGUGGACCAAACUUAAUUACGAACAGAGGGAGAGAAGAUAUAUGAUUACAUGAGGAGCUGUUACAGCGACGAUUCUUCAAAGAGAUGUUGAGACUGUAAAGAGAAAAGACGAUCUAGAGACAGUUAAAGGAUAUCCCAAGCCAGGGUCAGGGACUGUAGGUCCAUACGGUGAGUUGAUUGUUGGUGCAGCGAUAGGGACAAGUAAUGGUGGGAUCAGUGUUGUAGUGUUUGAAUCUGCUUCGUUCAGAAUCUGCAAAUAAGGAUUCAUAAGAAGCAAAGUUGAGGAUAAGGAUCAUCAAGGAAGGAGAGAGUCUUGCAAUUGGAUGGCACUGUGUCGGUUGAUCUCUUUGUCAGAGAUAUGAUGAAUGCUUCAGACAUAAAAGAGCUAAAGGCCGUACUGGUAUAAGCUUCUGAUAAGUCCAUCAACGCACGUGCAGGUGUUGAUGCAGCGAUGCAAAGCGGUCUAUAACAGGAGAACUUGAUGCUGAGGCAGCAGCUAGAAGCUAUUGUCCAGGAGAACAGUUUACUUAAACAAGCCGUGGUGAAGCAACAGAAGUGGCAGAGAGAAACUGAAGAUCAAAGCCAGGAGUUGCAGCCUUUGAGGCAGCUGUUUACUUAAUACCAAGAACAGGUGAGAUUCUGGGAGAUCCAUAAUCUGAGGAAAGACCACGAGCUAAUGAUAAUCUUCUACUUGGGCUAUUAUUGGAGACGAAGAUAUCUUCUAUUCCAAAAUCUUCAAUGGGUGUGAAUUCUUAUCAAAAUAAACCUUCUCAUGAUUAAGCUCUUGGAUUAAGAGAUCCUUUGUGUAUGGUAGAAAAAAUUUUUGAUGGUGAUUGCAUUUGUUGAAUUAAGGUUGCAGAGGAAUUGAUUGUUGAUGGAAUAUUGGAGAGAUGGAAAAAGAUUAAACCGGUUAUCAUGGAAGCUAGGAAGAACUUAUUUUUCUCUGUGUGCAAAAAGUAGGAUAGUGUGGAACAUGGAGGCAGAUCUCAAUUACGUAAGGAUGCUCUGUGUUUCUUAUUUUUCUCAGGUAAUAAAGAAACUGUAAUAUAAAUUCAAGAUGGAUGUAAUUAGAGGUUCCCGUAAAACCGAAAAGACGAAGAUUCAAUAUCAGAUCUACAUUUUAAUUCUGUUUUCAA